UACGGGGGGGGCAAGCGUUGUUCGGAAUUACUGGGCGUAAAGGGCUCGUAGGCGGCCAACUAAGUCGGAUGUGAAAUCCCCAGGCUUAACCUGGGAAUUGCAUCCGAUACUGGAUGGCUUGAAUCCGGGAGAGGGAUGCGGAAUUCCAGGUGUAGCGGUGAAAUGCGUAGAUAUCUGGAGGAACACCGGUGGCGAAGGCGGCGAUCUGGGUAGAUACUGACGCUGAGGUGCGAAAGCGUGGGGAGCAAACAGG
rnacentral:rRNA from 1 species